rnacentral:rRNA from 1 species
UACGGAGGGUGCAAGCGUUAUCCGGAUUCACUGGGUUUAAAGGGUGCGUAGGUGGGCAGGUAAGUCAGUGGUGAAAUCUCCGGGCUUAACCCGGAAACUGCCAUUGAUACUAUUUGUCUUGAAUACCGUGGAGGUUAGCGGAAUAUGUCAUGUAGCGGUGAAAUGCUUAGAUAUGACACAGAACACCAAUUGCGAAGGCAGCUCGCUAAACCAUAACUGACGCUGAUGCACGAAAGCGUGGGGAGCAAACAGG